CUCUCCCGAUCUGAGCGGCGGCGGCAGCUCCCAUCCUCUUCCUUCAUACCUCUCCCUCAGAUCAAGCGCCGCCCCAUCAAUCUGUGCGUGUCGCCAUGGAGGGCUCGCCCCUCUCUCGCGCCUCCUCCGCACGGAGCGCUGGCAACCAACACGGCGUAGAUCCACCAUCCCUUCGUCCGCCCCAUGUGCCUGCCACCGGUGACUGCCGCACUGUUCCGUUCCUCCCCCGCCUGCCGCACCAACGGCCCACGCCGCCAUGCCGUUUUGCUGCAGCCGCCGCCCCUACCCUCGCGCUCCGGGCAGAGUCUAGUUCUUCUUCGCGAUGACUAGGCGUUCCUCCCGGUGGUGGCGCUCUGCCUGCUGUGUUGCGUUUCUCCCAGCGGCUGCGCCCUUCGAACCCUACCUGUAAUCAAUUGAUCCGGCAACAGAGAGAUGAAGCUGCAAAGAGGUGUGAUGAGGAAAAAGCCGGUACACCUCUAUUCGUUGUAAUUUUUGGGAGAGGAUGACUAAUCUAAUAUUGCCAACAUAUAUGUUUGUCCUUGACCUGGAUGUCGAUGACACUCUUUUUCUUUCAGUUUGGAGUUGGUUUGCACUGUUUCUGCAAAAGUAUUUUGUCUGAACGUUGUAAAUAACAGUUGGUCACGAGUCUUAUGGGUACAGUGCAUCAUAUCAACUCUGCCCCUACACAGUAUAUAUCUCAUUACUUAUUUCUCUGAUAUGAUAAGUUGAGAAACAACUUGUCUUGUUGUUUUCUGAUGUGAACUACUCCCUCUGUUCCUAAAUACAAGUCUUUAGAGAUUUCAAUAUGAACUACAUACGGAUGUAUAUAGAUGUAGUUUAGAGUGUAGAUUCACUCAUUUUGCUUCGUAUGUAGUCCAUAUUGGAAUCUCUACAAAGUUUUAUAUUUAGGAAAGGGGGGAGUACAUGAUAUGGACAUUGCACUACAUUAUGUGCUAUUUUUUUACUCUAAUUGACAUGUUGUAUGUCGUUCUAGAAUUUUGUUCCUUCUGUUGGAACCCAAUUAUCAAUUUUACACCUUCCAGAAUUUAUGACUAACAGGUUACAUGCUGGUUUCUUACUGUUUUGGUUUCGACAUUGGACGUUUGAACACAUCAUAUACUGGAGAUUGCUUGUAUUAUAAUAGAAGGGAAAGUUACCAAGCGAACAAUACUUGUGUUAGUGUUUUCUAGUGUAUUGCAUGUGCAUUGUGGUCACUACUGUCAAUCCAUGGAAAUUUAAAUGUACAGUGAUGGAUUCAACGAAUGGAACCUAUAUCCUGACUUGCCACUACUAUAUUGUAGCUUCUGAAACACUUGUAUGCACAAAUAGUUUCUCUUGGUUAUCAUAACUAAAACAUUAUAGAGACAAAUCUCGCUCAGUUUUUUAGUGGGGAAGGAAAGCUUCAAGAUAUUCCAUUUAAAGCGCUGAUAUCUAUUUUAAAGCGCUGAUACCAUGUCUCCAUUUCUCUUAUUCAAGCACUCAUAUUCAGAGUAGUACAUACAGUUAUUCUAUGCUAUCAGAAAUAAGGUCAUUAAUAUUUAGAUAUAUGCUUGUAAACUUCACACACACACGCACACGCACACGCACACGCACACGCACACACACAUGCACACACCCACACGCGCUUGCGCACGCACACGUGCACACGCAGGAAGGUGGUGUUCAUGCUUGAUAGAUAUCCCUAUAAGAUUGUGCUUGGGUAGCAAUAGUUCCUGCAACAACUACAUUGUUUUCUGAUCUAUUGUGAGGCGUAUCAAGGCCUUGAUUUUGACAUUUUCUCAGUAUUGCUUAGAUCUGUUUAGUUCAGAUUUUGAAUGUAACAACUACAUUGUUCCUGUGAUCUAUUGCGAGGCAUAUAAAUGCUUUGAUUUUGACUUUAUUUUUUCAGCUUAGUUCAGCUAGUAUAUAAUAUUAGAUAAAAGUUUGACAGAUGCACAUGGCUAAGUCUUGUCAAUAUGAUGGUUUACGAUCUGCCAGUGGAACUUUAGAUGACAUAGUUUACCAAUUUCAAUGAAGUAUGUUAGCAGAUUAAGUGAAAGUUAGAUAUGAAAUGAACUUAAUUCAACCAUUCUCUAGAAGAAAAGUACUCCCUCCGUCCCGUAAUGUAAGAAUUUUUUUGACACUUGGUGUCAAAAAACAUCUUACAUUAUGGGACGGAGGGAGUACCUAUUUGUCAUAUGGUGAUGCUAUUGCUUUUAGAAUUUUAUGCUUACCAGAAGAUUUACUCAAAUAUUAAACAGAGAAACCUCUUUUUCAACAAGUUGUUUCCGAUCCCACUGAGAUAAAUUAAAAGUCUACUACUGCUAAUUACUAUAGACAAAAUAAAAGUCUGCUACUGCUAAUUACUAUAGUGGAACAGAAUGUAUGGUUGACAUAAAGGCUAUAUUGGAAAAUUUUGAGCUGUUGUGGUGUUCCUAGUAACUUAGAACUGCUAUGAAGAUGAACUGAACCAUAGUACUCUAAAAUUAGGAGCAAGAAAUUUGAAGUUAGUCUACUGUAGAGUAAUAAAGUUCUUGUAUAUGCUGCAAUUCAGUUGCAUUUAGGGGCGGAGCUACGGGGCCACGAUCGAGGGCAUCCCCUAUCGUUCGUUUCGGCGCCGGCGCACGAGCACACAUGGUCGCUCCGCCUGGAAGGUCGAUGAUGGCAUCUGUACAACUGAUCCACAAUGGAGCCGAUGGUAGAAUAAUCCUGCGGAGCUUUCCCUCUUUAGGAAUAUAAGCUGAAGCUUUCUCAUUGCCUUGAUCCUUUGGAGAAAAGACAUUCAAGUUGACCAGGAACCAUGAAGCUGGCAGUUUGCGUCAACUGUGUAAUGGAGCAGACUAUGAAUCGCUGGACAUACAUCUGUUAGCUAUCAUUGUGUAAACAUAUAUGGUGUCUCGGUCAACUGGAUAAUCUGUGCAAACCUAUUUGGCCUCUCGGUCAUUGAAGUAUAAAUGUUUCCUCUUAAUUGGUUACCUCGUCCAUUUGUGAGAAGUAAUUAAUGUGUUAUUUUUGUUU